UACACAACUCUCAGCAACGGAUAUCUUGGCUCCUGCAACGAUGAAGAACGCAGCGAAAUGCGAUACCUAGUGUGAAUUGCAGAAUUCCGCGAAUCAUUGAGUCUUUGAACGCAAGUUGCGCCCGAGGCUUGACCGAGGGCAUUCCCGUUAGAGCGUCACC
rnacentral:rRNA from 1 species